rnacentral:piRNA from 1 species
UCACAAUGACUAUGAUACAACCCACAGAC